AGUGAACGCUGGCGGUAGGCCUAACACAUGCAAGUCGAACGGCAGCACAGUAAGAGCUUGCUCUUACGGGUGGCGAGUGGCGGACGGGUGAGGAAUACAUCGGAAUCUACUUUUUCGUGGGGGAUAACGUAGGGAAACUUACGCUAAUACCGCAUACGACCUACGGGUGAAAGCAGGGGAUCUUCGGACCUUGCGCGAUUGAAUGAGCCGAUGUCGGAUUAGCUAGUUGGCGGGGUAAAGGCCCACCAAGGCGACGAUCCGUAGCUGGUCUGAGAGGAUGAUCAGCCACACUGGAACUGAGACACGGUCCAGACUCCUACGGGAGGAAGCAGUGGGGAAUAUUAGACAAUGGGCGAAAGCCUGAUCCAGCAAUACCGCGUGGGUGAAGAAGGCGUUCGGGUUGUAAAGCCCUUUUGUUGGGAAAGAAAGGCAGCAGGUUAAUACCCCGCUGUUCUGACGGUACCCAAAGAAUAAGCACCGGCUAACUUCGUG
rnacentral:rRNA from 1 species